rnacentral:rRNA from 1 species
AUGUCUGCCGAUUGGAGUGACGAUAACACUACAAUCUUGACCGAGCUCUUUAUCCAACAAGUGUGUGCUGGAAAUAGGCCAGACAAGGACUUGACUCAAAAUGCUUAUGAGGAAGUUGCGAAGGAUUUGAAAGUCCGAAUAGGUCUGGAGUACACCAGGCUCCAACUGAAGAACAAGUGGGAUAAGUUGAAGACUGAUUACAGCAAUUUCAGAAAACUCAAAUUGAAGGAGACUUGUGGUGGGUGGUACUAUAAGGGAAACACCAUCAAACAAGAUUCUGAAUGGUGGAAGAAAGCAAAGAUAGACAUCCCUGGCUGUGGCAUGUUCUGA